GUCAGUGAAGGAGGGAGAAUCUGUCACUUUAGAUUCUGGUGAAAUAAAAAACCCAAAUGAUUUAAAGGUGUGGUAUUUUAAUUACACUCGCAUCGCUCAAAUCAGUGGAGAUCUCCGUAAGAUCUGUACAGAUGAUCAGUGUGAUGAGAGAUUCAGAGACAGACUGAAGCUGGAUCAUCAGACUGGAUUUCUGACCAUCACAAACAUCAGAACCACAGACUCUGGACUUUAUAAACUGGAGAUUACCAGCUGCAGCAACAGGAACAUCAGUAUCACCGUCAUUAAGAGCUUCUGUGUUACUGUCAGUGGUUCAGGUCUAUCUUCAGCUGAACAGGAGUAUGUGUUGCUGCUGUUGUUCUGCUGCUUCUUGUUACAGCUGCUGGCUUAAUUGACUGUCGCAAUCUGUGAGCAAUAAAACAAGUGAAUCAUGUUGAAAACAUGUCCCCUGAUCAGAUUGAUGCUUUACCUACCAUUUAGGAUUGAUGAGGCCGAGUCUGAGGAAUCCAGUGAGACACUAACGUAACAUUAUUUGAUAUUUUUAUUGAAAGAAACAGUGAAGAGAUGAUGGGAACUGAGAGAAAAGCAUUGGAUCAUGAUACGCUCAUCACUAACAGAGAAAUAGUAUUGUCACAUUAAAAAGAUUUUAGUGUUAGGUACCAAUUAGGUACCAACUUCAUUGCUAUAAUUAAGUUUGAAAUAAUACAUUUACAAUUGCAGGCUAAAUACUUUUGAAUUCGUGCAAACAUUACUUCAGAAAACACAAACAGUAAACCAGCAAAAAAAAAAGAAAAAAAAAAAAACAUGUUCACUGCAAUAGAAAAUAGAGUGCUUGAUGUUCUUCAGUAUAGAGGUUUAUUAAAGCUGCUACUGAAAGUGAUCCAGACAAGAACAGUGCACGAUUAUCUUUGUUUCCUUUAGUACUGCUGUAAAUCAUUAAUAUUUACUUACAUGAAUAAUCAUAGAAUAUUUAUCAUCUUUAAUAUAUAAUCAUUAUAGUUAUAAACAAAAACUACCUUUUUUACAUGACUUAAGAUGAGACAAUGACAAGUUUUCAUUAAACUAGUGACGUAGGCAGAAUGUAAUUUUUGGGUGGGACUGGGCAAAAGUAAGCGGCACUAGUAGACUAACUAACAGAUGGAGUCUGACUCAAUAUGCAAGUCAUUUCAAUCUUUUUUUCUUUGAUCCUACUAAAAAAAAUAACCCAUAGAUCUCAGUAGAACACAGGCAUAGUAAAACUACCUCAUCUCUGUCUCCAUCACGAACAUGCACAUCAGUGGAGUGCAAUGUGCCCUUGUGGUCCGGUCUGCCACCAAUCUGCGAUUUCUGCCGAGGGUAGGAUAUUAAUAUUUUUGAUUGUGGAUAAUAAAAAUGUCUCCACGAUCUGCUUUUGAAGAAAUGUUGAAUUGUGUUGCAGCGCACAUUCUAUCAGCUGCAGUUCUGGCGCCUCAGAAUGAAUGUACUGCGACAUAUAGAUAGUUCACCCGAAAAUUUAAUUUCACUAACGAUAUUUAAAUUUUGGGGUGAAUUAUUU